GUCAAGCUUCCAAGAAAAGCCCUAUACCCGUUAAGGCAUGAUGGCCUGUACCCGAAACCGACACAGGUGGGGUGGUAGAGAAUACCGAGGGGCGCGAGAUAACUCUCUCUAAGGAACUCGGCAAAAUGGCCCCGUAACUUCGGGAGAAGGGGUGCCACCGCAAGGUGGUCGCAGUGAAGAGGCCCAGGCGACUGUUUACCAAAAACACAGGUCUCCGCUAAGUCGCAAGACGAUGUAUGGGGGCUGACGCCUGCCCAGUGCCGGAAGGUUAAGGAAGCUGGUCAGCGUAAGCGAAGCUAGCGACUGAAGCCCCGGUGAACGGCGGCCGUAACAAUAACGGUCCUAAGGUAGCGAAAUUCCUUGUCGGGUAAGUUCCGACCCGCACGAAAGGCGUAACGAUCUGGGCGCUGUCUCGGAGAGGGGCUCGGCGAAAUAGAAUUGUCUGUGAAGAUGCGGACUACGUGCACCCGGACAGAAAGACCCUAUGAAGCUUUACUGUAGCUUGGUAUUGUGCUCGGGCUCGGAAUGCGCAGGAUAGGUGGGAGGCUAUGAACCAUUGCUUGUGGGUGAUGGUGAGCCACUGGUGAGAUACCACUCUUUCCGAGCUAGAGUUCUAACAGCCACCCGUUAUCCGGGGGCUGGACAGUAUCAGGUGGGCAGUUUGACUGGGGCGGUCGCCUCCUAAAAGGUAACGGAGGCGCGCAAAGGUUUGCUCAGGCUGGUUGGAAAUCAGCCGACGAGUGCAAAAGCAGAAGCAAGCUUGACUGUGAGACCUACAAGUCGAACAGGGAGGAAACUCGGCUUUAGUGAUCCGACGGUUCUGCGUGGAAGGGCCGUCGCUCAACGGAUAAAAGUUACUCUAGGAUAACAGGCUGAUCUCCCCCAAGAGUUCACAUCGACGGGGAGGUUUGGCACCUCGAUGUCGGCUCAUCGCAACCUGGGGCUGAAGUCGGUCCCAAGGGUUGGGCUGUUCGCCCAUUAAAGCGGUACGCGAGCUGGGUUCAGAACGUCGUGAGACAGUUCGGUCCAUAUCCGGUGCAUGCGCAGGAAUAUUGAGAGGAUUUCUCCCUAGUACGAGAGGACCGGGAGGAACGCACCUCUGGUGUACCAGUUAUCGUGCCAACGGUAAACGCUGGGUAGCCAUGUGCGGAGAGGAUAACCGCUGAAAGCAUCUAAGUGGGAAGCCCACCUCAAGAUGAGUAUUCCCAUGGGGUAACCCAGUAAGGUCACGGGAAGAACACCCGUUGAUAGGCUCUACGUGGAAGCGCAGUAAUGUGUGAAGCGGAGGAGUACUAAUAGACCGAGGGCUUGACC
rnacentral:rRNA from 1 species